AGAGUUUGAUCCUGGCUCAGAUUGAACGCUGGCGGCAUGCCUUACACAUGCAAGUCGAACGGCAGCACGGGAGCAAUCCUGGUGGCGAGUGGCGAACGGGUGAGUAAUGUAUCGGAACGUACCUUUCAGUGGGGGAUAACGUAGCGAAAGUUACGCUAAUACCGCAUAUUCUGUGAGCAGGAAAGCAGGGGAUCGCAAGACCUUGCGCUGAUUGAGCGGCCGAUAUCAGAUUAGCUAGUUGGUGAGGCAAAGGCUCACCAAGGCGACGAUCUGUAGCGGGUCUGAGAGGAUGAUCCGCCACACUGGAACUGAGACACGGUCCAGACUCCUACGGGAGGCAGCAGUGGGGAAUUUUGGACAAUGGGCGCAAGCCUGAUCCAGCCAUGCCGCGUGAGUGAAGAAGGCCUUCGGGUUGUAAAGCUCUUUCGGCCGGGAAAGAAAUCGCAUGGGUUAAUACCCUGUGCGGAUGACGUACCGGCAUAA
rnacentral:rRNA from 1 species